CAAUGCCCUUAGGUAUCUGGUGGCUAGAAUUAAACAUUUGUUUCUGGUCACUUCGUUUUUCUAGGGCAUAAACUAAAUCACUUACAGGUCUUGCGACACAGUUUGCUUUAGUUCCAUAAGCUUACUGUUACUUUAACCCUGUUUACAUUU